UACGUAGGGUGCAAGCGUUGUCCGGAAUUAUUGGGCGUAAAGAGCUCGUAGGCGGUCUGUCACGUCUGCUGUGAAAACUCGGGGCUUAACCCCGGGCCUGCAGUGGGUACGGGCAGACUAGAGUGCGGUAGGGGAGACUGGAAUUCCUGGUGUAGCGGUGAAAUGCGCAGAUAUCAGGAGGAACACCAGCGGCGAAGGCGGCGCUCUGGGCCGGUACUGACACUGAGGAGCGAAAGCGUGGGUAGCAAACAGG
rnacentral:rRNA from 1 species